GACCUCAAAUCAGGUAGGACUACCCGCUGAACUUAAGCAUAUAAAUAA
rnacentral:rRNA from 1 species